rnacentral:misc_RNA from 1 species
GCCAUUUUCUUCUUCAUUUUCUCCAUAUAAAUCUUAACUCAAUUUACCAUUUUCACAAAAAAAAAUUCCCCAAAUUUUAGCUUCAAUGGCGUCACUUCAAUCCUCUGCAAUAUCCUUCUCAUCUUCCCUCGGCCGUUUCUCAUCCACACGCACAAUGCUUCCUCAGAAACCCAGAAAAUACAAACUCCCGGUUGUUGAAUCGAAGAUUCGAGAGAUUUUCAUGCCGGCAUUGAGCUCAACGAUGACUGAAGGAAAGAUCGUAUCUUGGGUUAAAUCGGAAGGUGAUGUUUUGUCUAAAGGUGAAUCUGUCGUUGUUGUGGAGUCGGAUAAAGCUGAUAUGGAUGUU